GCGACACUAGCUCAGUUGGUAGAGCGCAACCUUGCCAAGGUUGAGGUCACGCCUUUUUUGUUAAGAGCUAGGGAACCUCGUGCCCCAAUCGGGUCGAGUCGCU
rnacentral:tRNA from 1 species